ACAGUCGGUCAUUGUCACAUUAUAGUACACGGUAAUUAUCCCAGAUGCCCAAACGCUGCCUGUUAGGAGGCUGUAGCAACAGUAACCAGAGUGGGGCCACCAUGCACCUGAGGCCAACAGACAAGUCUGUGGCUCGAAAAUGGACAAAUUUUGUUAGGCCUACCCAAACGAGGGUGUUUUUGUUUGGAUCGACUCCAUACUCCGUGCUGUGUUGUGAACAUUUCCCAGCAGAUUCUUACAGCAACAGUCAGCUGGAGCGGAAGCUUGGUGUGAAACCUAAACUUAAAUCGAACGCAGUACCCGUUUUUCAAGCCGACAGAAGUAAACGAACCACAUGUCACUCAAGCGACGAAUGCUAAAUUAACAGAAAGACGGCUCGGGUUGAGAGCAGUUAAGCUGGCACUGUAGUAAUUCCGCCUGUCACUCGCAACGCCCGUUUGGAUUCGUCAAAUGUGCCAGCAGCUAUCCGAAAACGGCAUUGUAUGAGAAUUAUCUCUGUGGCAGAAUCUUGAGAAUGUUGUCCAGCAGAGGUUGCUCCAGAUAUCUCAGAGCCGGAUAUCCCAGACCCAGGGGCCUCAGUGCUAGAUACCUCAGAGUUGGAUAUUACACCAGACUGGUGUAUUGAGGACAUCAGUUUUACCACUGAUGUUGGACUUCACUCAGAGCACUAGGUCAUGAAGACAUGAACAUUGCAAGUGAACUGCUCCAGUUUUAAGGGUUAUACAGAAAUAGUUCGCUCAAGUGAUUUUAUUAUGGUAGCUACAGUAAUGCCACAUGAAUAUUGAUAAUGCAUUUACAUGUCCAGAUCUGAAUAUUACUCCAUUUGCUUUUUGGGUGUUUAGGUAUUUCAUACACAAGGAAACCUGCUACUGCAUGCACAGCAGUACAGUGCAACCUAUUGGACGCACCCGCUCUCAGCCGCCUGUCUGAGGUUGAUGAAGAUAGUGGUGAGGAGAGUGAAGAGUCGGAAGAAGAUGACCAAAAUGAGACAGAGGAUCCAGUUUAUCACCCUAACGAGAAAGACUUGCAAGAAGAGGAGCCAAUCAUUAGCUAUGCUGUUCUGUGGUGCAAAUGUCACAAAAACACUUCAUGUGUUCUCCUCUGCCGGAAUCACUUCUUAUUCGUACCAGACUUUCCUCAAUCACCAAAGUCGUUCUUGAAGAAAGCUGUCAGCCACCGUAUGGUCAGAAGAGAGAGGAACAUUGCUGACAGAACUCAAAAGGUGUCAGACUGGCUUACACAGUGCAAAGUAUGGCACUUACAACAUUCUAGAAACAAAGAUCAAUAAAGUCAUCAACGUUGAAACAGU